GAUGAACGCUGGCGGCGUGCCUAAUACAUGCAAGUCGAGCGAACAGAUGAGGAGCUUGCUCCUCUGACGUUAGCGGCGGACGGGUGAGUAACACGUGGAUAACCUACCUAUAAGACUGGGAUAACUUCGGGAAACCGGAGCUAAUACCGGAUAAUAUAUUGAACCGCAUUGUUCAAUAGUGAAAGACGGUUGUGCUGUCACUUAUAGAUGGAUCCGCGCCGCAUUAGCUAGUUGGUAAGGUAACGGCUUACCAAGGCAACGAUGCGUAGCCGACCUGAGAGGGUGGUAGGCCACCUUGGAACUGAGACACGGUCCAGACUCCUAAGGGAGGCAGCAGUAGGGAAUCUUCCGCAAUGGGCGAAAGCCUGACGGAGCAACGCGGAGUGAGUGAUGAAGGUCUUCGGAUCGUAAAACUCUGUUAUUAGGGAAGAACCACUGUGUAAGUAAAUAUGCACGUCUUGACGGUACCUAAUCAGAAAGCCACGGCUAACUACGUG
rnacentral:rRNA from 1 species